AUGGCUCGGUAUACAAAUCAAGUGCAUGUGUAUGCACUUGUAAUCAUGUUAAUAUGUACUUUCUUCGCAACUUCGCAGGCUCGUAAUCUCCAUGAUCAUCUAUUGGUCCACGUUCAUGUUGACAGCAAAAACCUUCUCCAUAAAUUAGGUAUUCACACAUCAUAUCAUAAACAAAUUAAAGAUGCAGGAGAUAGACUCUCACCAGGAGGACCUGAUCCUCAGCAUAAUGGAAAAUCACCACCAACCAAGUAA